rnacentral:rRNA from 1 species
CGUGUAGGCGGCCUUUUAAGUCAGGCGUGAAAUCCAUGGGCUUAACCCAUGAAUUGCGUUUGAAACUGGAGGGCUUGAGGAUCGGAGAGGGCAGUGGAAUUCCCAGUGUAGCGGUGAAAUGCGUAGAUAUUGGGAGGAACACCAGUGGCGAAGGCGACUGCCUGGACGACACCUGACGCUGAGGCGCGAAAGCUAGGGGAGCAAACGGGAUUAGAUACCCCGGUAGUCCUAGCCGUAAACGAUGGGUACUAGGUGUGGGAGGUAUCGACCCCUUCCGUGCCGCAGUUAACACAAUAAGUACCCCGCCUGGGGAGUACGGCCGCAAGGUUGAA